CACAUUGAGAAUAAUGAUAUUAAUUUUUGAUAGACAUACUCAGUGAUAAAGGCAUAUGUGUAUAACUAAACGAUUGUUUCAUUUGAUAAUUUAUGCACGUUCAAAAAUUGGUUUCUUUAGUGGUAAACUGAAGAUAUACUUUGAGAUUAGGUAAUAUGAACUAAAACAAGACGCAGAAUGAUGUUGUGCGAGAGAAAAGAGCAAUACUGAAAACAGAUUGACAUAUAUAUCGAUAUUUUUGUAUAAUUCAAUGGGUCCUUCAAAAUCGAACGUUCAAUAUACAACAGAAUAAUGCCACUAUCGGAAGUGGUUAUCAAACUUUUUUAGGCUUACUUAUUUCAACUCUAAUAUGCUUUGUUUUGUAUUUUACGCUCAUUCAGACAUGGAAUAAUGAUGACGAGAAAUAUGUAGAACAGAUAGAUAAUGAUAAAAGGUCCGAAAAAAUAAACGUUCAAAACUGCUUUAAGAUUAUUUUGGAUAGAAAUGUUUUUAGUGAUUUCAUCAGAAGGAAAGAUGUCGAAAAUGGCGAGAAAGUUUCGAACUAUCGAGAAAGUUCAUGUAAUCAUUUCACGAAGUUAAACUCACCCGGUGGAAGAACAGGCAAUCAAUUGUUUCAAGUUGCUGCAUUGUUUGGAAUCUCUUUUAAAUAUGACUCUAUUCCUAUAGUUGAGCCCUCGUUCCCCUUAUUAAAGUAUUUCGAUUUGCCAAAUGUUAUAAGGAUGAGAUUAAACAAUUCAAGCAUAUGUGCACCACAGUAUCCAGGGAUAUUUCAUGAAUGUUCUAACAGCAGUACACACGAAAAAUAUAAUAAUAGGACAAUUCACGGAUUUUUCCAGUCCUGGAAAUAUUUUAAAAACAUUGAUGACAUUAUAAGAUCAAUUUUAAAGGUUAGACCCACUUACAUGCAAACUGCUAGACUGUUUUUAGAUAGUCACAAAAAGGUUGGAUUUAAAAAUAUAUGUAUACAUGUAAGGAGAACAGAUAUGACUAUCGAUUAUUUUCAACAAAGAGGAUUUGCAGCGGCUCCUAUCAAUUUCAUUUACAAAGCUAUUACCUUUUGUGAAGCCAAUUUUAAGAAAGCUAUUUUCUUUGUAUUAAGUGAUGAUAUUAAUUGGUGCAGGAAAAACAUAAAACAUGACGUCAAAUUGAGCGGUUUCAAAGAACCCGGAUAUGAUUUGGCCCUUAUGACUUAAUGUGAUCACGUUGUUGUAACUGCAGGCUCGUUUGGUUGGUGGGGUGCUUAGCUUUCGAAUGGAACGACUGUUUAUUACAAUGGAUAUCGACGUCCUGGAUCUUUGCAAGACGAACGGUAUUUACUUAGUGAUUAUUAUCCACCGGACUGGAUUGGGUUAUCGUAAUAGUAAAUAAUACUCGAGUACAACCACUUUAGGAGCCUUGAAUAGCUCAAACGUGUUCUUUUUUCAAAUUUAUCUCGGGGCUUACAUGCGUUUGAAAACCAAUUAAUGCAUUAUAAAUUUUAUUAGACAUAAUAUAAUAUAGAGUGAUAUCCACUGAUGGAAUGCCACCGGAAGAGUGCGGUGAAAGUGUUACAGGGGAGAUAAAUUUCAAUCAAUCAAUAACGUUCUUUAUGACAGUGAUCGCUUUACAGCCACCGAUGAAUUCCCAGUGAAAGUACAUACCGAAAUGCAUAGGAAGGUAAAGAAUAAACUUUCUGUAAGCAAAGAUGACUUUAGCAAUACCAUGAGAUUUACAAGCUAUGAAUUAAUGAGUUGGGUUUUACGGCGAACCGACACAAAAAAGUCAUAAAUUGCCGAUACAACCAAUGAAGGAAUGCCACUGAACGAGCAGACUGAAAAGCUUACUUAGGUUCAAUUUAAACUUGCUUCAGGAGACUACAAUGCAAACAAUAGUGAUGAAGGUUUACCCAAGACCGAGAGUGAGUUAAAGUGUUUCUCAAAAAUGGUGAGGAAGGCUACAAAUUGCGGCUAAAAUCGAGUUCCCUUGAAUAUUAUACCGGUAUUGUUUUCUGUAAUAAUUAAUGGUAAACAGUGUAUGUCAGUUUUGUUUUUUUUAGAAAAGACUGUACUUAAUUUUUCCAGAAUGCUUUUUUUUUCUUCUUAGUGUUACAUGAACAUUCUGGAAUCUUCCAUGAUACAAUGUAUAGUCAUAUGUUUAAGAUUUAAACAAAACCAAAGAACCUAAGAAUCUAUGCUAUAGAUAUUAAUAUAGGACUAUUUGAAAUAUUUAAAUAUAGAAGUCUAGAUUAAUUUUACCUAUGAAACGAGGAAUUAUAAAAUUUGGAGAUUACUUUUGAACCGAGUGAAAUAUUGUGGGAUUUAUUUUGACUUGAUUUAAAUUUGACCUAGACAGACUUUGGACUAUUUUUACUUAUUAGAUUGGAUUAUACGGCUCUUUGUCAUUUUUACGGUAUUGGCGUUUUAUUCAACUUUAUGAAAGUACACAUGUAUUAUGUUAUUUGUAUAGUUGCUGGUUUGUUUAUCUGUAUUUUAUUUACUGUUUGUCAAGUUAUUGUUACUAUAUGACGUAGCAGAAAGAGAGAAAGAGAAAAAACAAUUGCAAUAAAACUCAAAGUCCUUUUCACUUUGAUGUCACAAAAUA